rfam:Ornithorhynchus anatinus chromosome X5, whole genome shotgun sequence.
CACCCCUCAGGGCUGCACCUGGAGAGUUUUUAGUACUCUACCUGUCUCAGCUCCGAGAGGGAGAGUCAAGCAGAUGCCUACCCCUUCCAUUCCUAGUUUGGGCAAUAGCUAGCGAGUGGAAGACAAUCUGCUACAAGU